rnacentral:rRNA from 1 species
UACGUAGGGUGCGAGCGUUAAUCGGAAUUACUGGGCGUAAAGCGUGCGCAGGCGGUUCGUCGUGUCCGAUGUGAAAGCCCCGGGCUCAACCUGGGAAUGGCAUUGGAAACUGGCGGGCUUGAGUGUGGCAGAGGGGGGUGGAAUUCCGCGUGUAGCAGUGAAAUGCGUAGAGAUGCGGAGGAACACCGAUGGCGAAGGCAGCCCCCUGGGCUAACACUGACGCUCAGGCACGAAAGCGUGGGAAGCAAACAGG